CUACGGGCGGCUGCAGUGGGGAAUAUUGCACAAUGGGGGAAACUCUGAUGCAGCAACGCCGCGUGGAGGAUGACACUUUUCGGAGCGUAAACUCCUUUUAUAUAGGAAGAAGAUGACGGUACUAUAUGAAUAAGCGCCGGCUAACUCCGUGCCAGCAGCCGCGGUAAUACGGAGGGCGCAAGCGUUACUCGGAAUCACUGGGCGUAAAGAGCGUGUAGGCGGAUUAAAAAGUCAGAAGUGAAAUCCUAUAGCUUAACUAUAGAACUGCUUCUGAAACUCUUAAUCUAGAAUAUGGGAGAGGUAGAUGGAAUUUCUGGUGUAGGGGUAAAAUCCGUAGAGAUCAGAAGGAAUACCGAUUGCGAAGGCGAUCUACUAGAACAUUAUUGACGCUGAGACGCGAAAGCGUGGGGAGCAAACAGGAUUAGAUACCCUCGUAGUC
rnacentral:rRNA from 1 species